GACGAACGCUGGCGGCGUGCCUAAUACAUGCAAGUCGACCUUAGUGGCGAACGGUUUAGUAACACGUGGGUAACCUGCCCAUCAGAAGGGGAUAACACUUGGCAACAGGUGCUAAAACCGUAUACUGAUGUAUGGACCCGAGGUGCAUUCGCUAGUUGGGGAGGUAACGGCUCACCAAGGCCACGAUGCAUAGCCGGUCUGAGAGGGUGAUCGGCCACAUUGGGACUGAGACACGGCCCAAACUCCUACGGGAGGCAGCAGUAGGGAAUCUUCGGCAAUGGACGAAAGUCUGAACGAGCAAUGCCGCGUGAGUGAAGAAGGUUUUCGGAUCGUAAAACUCUGUUGUUAGAGAAGCGGUAUCUAACCAGAAAGCCACGGCUAACUACGUGCCAGCAGCCGCGGUAAUAC
rnacentral:rRNA from 1 species